AUGCAGCGGACGGCACCACCUGCAGAUGAAAAACAACGGGAGAAAUCAAACCCCAAACGACAUCAAACCCAGAAAACCCCCGAUCAUGUUAUGAUCUCGAACCCUAACCCCCAAUUUCUUCAGAAAUUCCCCAAAAUAAGAAGCAACAUCGUCACGAUUAUCAAAGUUUGCAGGCACGAUGAGGACGACAGAGGAUUAAGAAAUCUAGGGUUUCACUUUUGA